AGCCGGGUUUGGGGUCGUGGUGAUUUUAUCGGCUCUGCUCGUUCUGCUCCUGAUCCUCUACAAACACAGAGGUUGGAAGAAAUUCUCUCUCCCCAAAUCCAAGCCCACGGACACAGAGGUCACAUCCACGACCCUGUACGCCGAGGUCGGCCCUUCCCAGCAGCGCAGCCCUACCGAAAUUAAAGCCAAACCAACGGGCGAGGAAUCCUCCACAAGCAUUUAUUCCCUGGUCAAGAGUCCAGAG